GACGAACGCUGGCGGCGUGCUUAACACAUGCAAGUCGAACGGAAAGGCCCUGCUUUUGUGGGGUGCUCGAGUGGCGAACGGGUGAGUAACACGUGAGUAACCUGCCCUUGACUUUGGGAUAACUUCAGGAAACUGGGGCUAAUACCGGAUAGGAGCUCCUGCUGCAUGGUGGGGGUUGGAAAGUUUCGGCGGUUGGGGAUGGACUCGCGGCUUAUCAGCUUGUUGGUGGGGUAGUGGCUUACCAAGGCUUUGACGGGUAGCCGGCCUGAGAGGGUGACCGGACACAUUGGGACUGAGAUACGGCCCAGACUCCUACGGGAGGCAGCAGUGGAGAAUAUUGCACAAUGGGCGGAAGCCUGAUGCAGCAACGCCGCGUGCGGGAUGACGGCCUUCGGGUUGUAAACCGCUUUCGCCUGUGACGAAGCGUGAGUGACGGUAAUGGGUAAAGAAGCACCGGCUAACUACGUG
rnacentral:rRNA from 1 species